UCCCUCUUAGCUCAGUUGGUAGAGCGCGUCACUAGUACUCUUUCAUCUCAGGUUCUUAUGACGAGGUCAGUCGUUCAAAUCGGCUAGCGGGAA